GAUGAACGCUGGCGGCGUGCCUAAUACAUGCAAGUCGAGCGAACAGACGAGGAGCUUGCUCCUCUGACGUUAGUGGCGGACGGGUGAGUAACACGUGGAUAACCUACCUAUAAGACUGGGAUAACUUCGGGAAACCGGAGCUAAUACCGGAUAAUAUAUUGAACCGCAUGGUUCAAUAGUGAAAGACGGUUUUGCUGUCACUUAUAGAUGGAUCCGCGCCGCAUUAGCUAGUUGGUAAGGUAACGGCUUACCAAGGCAACGAUGCGUAGCCGACCUGAGAGGGUGAUCGGCCACACUGGAACUGAGACACGGUCCAGACUCCUACGGGAGGCAGCAGUAGGGAAUCUUCCGCAAUGGGCGAAAGCCUGACGGAGCAACGACGCGUGAGUGAUGAAGGUCUUCGGAUCGUAAAACUCUGUUAUUAGGGAAGAACAAAUGUGUAAGUAACUAUGCACGUCUUGACGGUACCUAAUCAGAAAGCCACGGCUAACUACGUG
rnacentral:rRNA from 1 species